rnacentral:misc_RNA from 1 species
GAUGAAGAACGCAGCGAAAUGCGAUAAGUAAUGUGAAUUGCAGAAUUCCGUGAAUCAUCGAAUCUUUGAACGCAUAUUGCGCCCUCUGGUAUUCCGGAGGGCAUGCCUGUCCGAGCGUCAUUUCAACCCUCAUGCCCCUAGGGCGUGGUGUUGGGGAUCGGCCAAAGCCCGCGAGGGACGGCCGGCCCCUAAAUCUAGUGGCGGACCCGUCGUGGCCUCCUCUGCGAAGUAGUGAUAUUCCGCAUCGGAGAGCGACGAGCCCCUGCCGUUAAACCCCCAACUUUCCAAGGUUGACCUCAGAUCAGGUAGGAAUACCCGCUGAACUUAAGCAUAUCAAUAAGCGGAGGA